GGUCGAUGAUGUGUUGGCAUGUAUUAUCUGAAUUCUGCUGAUGUGUAAUCACACUUUAGCUCUAGAAUUACGCUGAGACCUU
ensembl:snoRNA